rnacentral:rRNA from 1 species
GACGAACGCUGGCGGCGUGCUUAACACAUGCAAGUCGAACGGAAAGGCCCUGCUUUUGUGGGGUGCUCGAGUGGCGAACGGGUGAGUAACACGUGAGUAACCUGCCCUUGACUUUGGGAUAACUUCAGGAAACUGGGGCUAAUACCGGAUAGGAGCUCCUGCUGCAUGGUGGGGGUUGGAAAGUUUCGGCGGUUGGGGAUGGACUCGCGGCUUAUCGGCUUGUUGGUGGGGUAGUGGCUUACCAAGGCUUUGACGGGUAGCCGGCCUGAGAGGUUGACCGGCCACAGUGGGACUGCGAGACGGCCCAGACGCCUACGGGAGGCAGCAGUGGGGAAUAUUGCACAAUGGGCGGACGCCUGAUGCAGCGACGCCGCGUGCGGGAUGACGGCCUUCGGGUGGUAAACCGCUUUCGCCUGUGACGAAGCGUGAGUGACGGUAAUGGGUAAAGAAGCACCGGCUAACUACGUG